rnacentral:misc_RNA from 1 species
AGUUUAUAAAUAGUUGCAUUUAUAAAGAAAAAUCUAAUCAUCAUUAUAAAAUUGGAUUUCUUGAUGUCAUGACUCAAGAAAGAGUUACAUUAUACAUAACAAUAUUCUUUCCUUCAUUUCAUGAUGUUGAAGAAUAUAGCGGAUGAUGGGAGGAGGUAACGGGGGAUGUUAUUGUUCUAACUUCAAAGAAUGACACAAUAGAACUUUUGAACCUGACGUGCUCAAAAGAAUUUGUGACAGGUAGUGUCGGAAAAGAGGAAGAGGGAUGGUAUGAGAAGGAAAGAGCGAUGUUCAGGGUGUAGAAAUAUAGUCAAUGUAUAUAGACUGGUCGAGUGAGGGGUGGCCACCAGUGGCAACAUUGCAGUGGCCUUGAGAGACCCAUUUUCGCUUGGUCAACUAGUACGCUCGUGCCCUUCGAGCAGCCACACUCUGUGGCACGUCUUACACAAACCAUCAAAAAAAAACAGCCGCUGAUUGAAAAUGGUUCAUAUGGGUUUAAAGAAAAAGAAAGAAGAGGAGGAGACAAACAGAGUAGCAAAGGAGAGAGAAGAGAGAGAAGAAAUAGAAAGAAGGCAGGAGAUGAUAUCUGAAGGUGAAGACGUGACAUUUAAUCUACGGCUGCCAGAAGAAGAGGAGGAAGAAUAGAAAGAAGGAGAAGGUUUUUCAGAGAAGGAGCAGGUUGAAGUUGUGAUUCAGAUGACCCCUGUCACCUGUAAGUUUUUCAGGCCGAUAAAGAAUGGUCUAUGAAGGAAAAUAGCACUCCCAAAAAAAGAGGAAGUGAUAGAAGGACAGGAGGACUUUGAACUAAACCUGUGCCUUCCUGAGGAGGAAGAAGAAGAGGAGGAGGAGGAGAAAGGAUCGGAGAAGGCAGCGCAGACAUGGAGAUGCUGGAAGUGGAGGAGCAAAUGCCAGUGAAUGAAGGACCAGAAGAAGAUUUCGUGUGCCAUGAUCACUUUGAUAUGAUCCUUAAUCCCCGAACGAAUUUCGAGACAGGAAUUGGCAACAGAGCCAUUGUUGCCGCUCUCAUAGUGGGGCUUGGACAGGGGGCAACAGCUGCCCCCAUGGUUGGGAUUGGACAGGGGGCAACUACUGCCCCCAUGGUGCGGAUUGGACAGGGGGCAACUGCUGCCCCCAUGGUGCGGAUUGGACAGGGGGCAACUGCUGCCCCCAUGGUGCGGAUUGGACAGGGGGCAACUGCUGCCCCCAUGGUGCGGAUUGGACAGGGGGCAACUGCUGCCCCCAUGGUGCGGAUUGGACAGGGGGCAACUGCUGCCCCCAUGGUGCGGAUUGGACAGGGGGCAACUGCUGCCCCCAUGGUGGCGAUUGGACAGGGGGCAACUGCUGUCCCCAUGGUGGUGAUUGGACAGGGGGCAACUGCUGCCCCCAUGGUGGGGAUUGGACAGGGGGCGCAAUACACAAAUGUCAGUCUGUAAAAGGAGAACUGGAGAUUGAAAUAGCUUAGCUUUGGAGACUGAGGAUAGGAUGCUGGUGAUAGAAAUGACACAUACUCUCCCUACUCUCCACUGUUCCGUCCUUCAUCCAAUGAAAGAGACCAGUAGCCGCUUCGAAUCCCCGCAACACGCGCAGAAACCAGGUUCUCCUGUUUCAUCAACUUAAGGAUCCUAUAUUAACUGGAGAACUGGAGAUUGAGAUUCGGCGCUUCGCUAUGUUGACUGAGGUUAUAGAUGUGACACGUAGGCCCACACUGCGCCGUUCUAUCCUUCUUCAACCAAUGAGUCACCAGUAUCCCAGGCGCUUUGAAUCCCCGCAACCCACGCAGAAACCAGGUUCUUCUGUUUCAUCAACUUAAGGAUCCUAUAUUAACUGGUAUGAUCAGUAUUCAUUUUAUUCAUGAGAAUAGUUAGAAGUUGAGACUAUUCAUCA